UUCUGAUUUGCAUUUCUCUAAUGAUCAGUGAUGUUGAGAUUUCUUUUUCAUGUGAUUGUUGGUUGCAUGUAUACCUUCUUUGGUUCUUUUGGUUUUAUAUGAAUUUUGAAAUAAAUUUUGGACAAUUUGUUUAUACUGUGUGUGUGUCCAGUUGUGAUUGGAAUAUAUUGUAGAAACUCAAGUAAAUAUCUUCUAAUGACUCAAUGAAUUGAUUUAUUUGGGAUGCUUUAUAAAAAGUAUAACUUUUUCCUAAUGCAGAAUGUCCUAGUAGAAAUAAAAAAAUACAGUAUAUCAAUAAUUCCUAGCAUUCCCAAGGAAGGAAACAAGUAAUCGUAUUAAGUAAAAUGAUAAAAUAAUACAAGUCUUAAUGUUGAUGCCCAACAUCAAGCCAUUUUUAAGAAUCACAAGCAGUGCAGCAGUAUUAUUGCUGAUGCUUUAAAGCUGAGCCAUAUUUUCUUAGAUAUUUAUAGGAUGGCUUUGUAGGUAAAAUACAGGAGUAAAUACCUGUGCUAGGUUGUUUUAUCGUGCAGUUAUUCAUUCUUCCUUUCCUGUAAGAAAAUUAUACAUUGUUGCUCAUUGACAUCAGGCUUAAGGGGCCCCUUAUGGACAGAAUAUAUAUUCUCUGCUCCAUUGAUGUUUGACCUGACUAUGUGAUGUGCUUUAGUCAAUGGAAUAAAUGUAGGCACGAUGUAUACUGUUUUUGAGAAGAAACUUUAAAAGGUACUAAUGAAAUUUCUUUGCCUGUUUGUUUCUGCCUUCUGUAUGGGUCCUGGAAUAAAAAUAUAUGGAUGAGGAUUGCAGCUGACUUCAGCCUACAUGCAGUUUGAAUAUGAAAAAACUGUUAUAGAAGAUGUCCGAGCAUAUGGAAAAGAACCUUGAACAUGGAACAAGGAGACACGGGUUCAGCCUCUGGGCAAAUAAUUGAACUGGCACAACAAAGAAAAAGAUGUCGGAAAUUGUUCAUCAAAAAACUGAGUGCUUAUCUAUGAGUAUGAAGAUUUCAUUAAUUAAUCUUAUAUGUUAUACUUUUUCACAUUACUUGAAUAUUGUUCAUAAUUGCAUACUAUCUUUAUAAUAUAAUAAAAUAUUUUCAUUUUCAAAUAUUUAACAAUUUAAACAAAUGUAAGCAAAAUAUUAAAAAUAACUUGACAUUAGUACGUGGAAUUGGGGCAAUUGCAUAAGUUUUCUCAUUCAAACAUUCAUAUAAGUACUUGAAAUCAUGAAUACAAGCAUAUUAACACUAGAGAUUUUAGAAUUCCUCCAUUAUUUCCCUAGUUUUCUAGCUAUGAUUUGAUCAAACUGUGUUUAUAAGUUCCUUUAUAUUAAAUUUAGGUGGUAAGCUAGAUUUAAAUCUUUUUGGAGAAAAAUUGUUAUUUGAUAUUAAAUGUAAUUAUUUAUUUCACUGGAAAUAUAAAAUAUAUAGCCUUCCAAGUAACAAAGGGUAAUGAAUUUAUUGUUUAAAGAGAAACGUAAAUACAGAAAAUAAAA
rnacentral:lncRNA from 1 species